CCUAUCUAAGCCUAAUCAACAAAACGCGGGAGAUAUACCGCCAAUAAAAAGAUCCAAUAAAAAUUUGAGGGCCUGGAGGGAACUUUACCGCCAUUCGGCCAGCCAAAACCCUGGGCUUUAAUAAAAAAAGAGUAAAUAAUAUUGUCCGCAUUUGCUCGCAUAUAAAAGCCUAAGGAAAAAAAAAAAGACCUUCAUCUCUGAACCCAGACUCAUAAACAUUGAGUGUAGCUGAACCCAGACUCAUGAACCUUUGUCUCUGAACAAUCCCUACGCCUUUACUAUCCAUCUCCAUUACUUUCAACUCACAAUCUCAAAUUCCAGGGUACUAUUAACGGCAAAAGCUAGCAAGGAUAUUAAGGAAUCAAGGGUACUAUUGUCGGCAAAUUUCAAGGUAAUUGAGAAAUCAAUCUUGUUCUCUCUUGCUUGCUACCUCCUUCUCAUGGAUAAGGUAAGCUAGUCUUCAGAAAGUUAUUUCAAUUUUGUUCUCUUGUUUCUGAAAUUGAUCUAUUCACAGAUUUGGUUGUUGUUAUUUUUGUGAGGUAACUACUGGUAGUUAUAAGGUUGUCGCUGUAUAUAUGCUUGCUAGUCUAUGUUUAGAGUUGAUUAAGCUUCUUGUUGUUAUUUUCUCCAUCAACUGGAAAUGUUGGGUUACUCUUUGUUGAUUGGUUAUGGUUGAUAAUUGCUAUUUUGUUAGGGGAAUGAGGUUUGAUUAUGAUGGGAAAGGUAAAAUGUUAGGUGUUAGGAGGGGACCGUAAGAGAAUAGCCAGAGUUAGAUUCAGCUUUGAUUACCAUGGCCAAGUUGCAAAUGACUUGCUGUUCUGGAGGUGCAAGGAGAAACUGAGUGUCGGGCUCUAUAUAUUUGUUUUUCCAAAUCCUCCAAGUUUCAUUACUUUAAGUGUCAAUUGUGUUUUGUCUUUGCUAUUUCUGUUGUUAGUAACAUGGUUCUUUUGUUUCUCUUUUUUGGUCUGAUACCUUUUUGAGCUUAACUAUAUAUGCAUAGCUUUGCUACCACACAUGAUUGUUUUCUAGGAGACUAAAUCCCCUUGGGGAGAUUUCCCUUCAUUUGGAUCCGCUUUGAGAUUUCAGUCAUUUCUCCUCACUUUGAUCCGUGUUGAGGGAUUUUACCUCAUUUAGAUAUGCUUUGAGGAGAUUUCACCUCACUAUAAUUAAUACGCCUUGUGGGAAUUUCACCUCACUUGGAUCCGUCUUGAGGAGAUUAAUUUCACUCACUAAGGUCCGUCUUGAGGGAAUUUAACCUCACUUGGAUAUGUUUUGAAGAGAUUUUACCUCACUUGGAUCUUCCUUAAGGAGAUUUCAUCUUGAGUACUCUUUUAGCUCUUCUUCCUUAUCAGGUAAGACCUCGCUCUUUUGAUUCAUUAUUCCUUUGAGUGUAUUCUUUGGUUGGAGUGUUGGAACUGAGUUAGAUAUUAGCUUUGAACAUAUAUAUAGCACUUUAUAGGUCUGAGUUGAUUUUCCUUGUGAAGUUCUAGGUAGUUCAUAAUAUAUGCAGCUUAUAUUAUGCAUGCAAGUAGAGUUGUGAUAUCCUGGUUCCGAUUUAACAUUUUUUUUUUAUCCACUAAGGCGGUUAUUUUUGUUUUAGGUUGUUAGUUAUUUUGUAUUUGGUUUUACUAGUUUUUAUUAUUAUUAUUUUUUUUUAAUCAUUUGGUUUUGUUUCCAAGGGAUGAGGAUAGGUGGCUGACGGUCUGUUAGAGGAGGGAGGAGAAAGAAAGAAAAGGAACAUAGAGAGGGAUGGAAAGAAAGAAAGGGAACAGAGAGGGGAGGGAAAGAAAGAAAGAAAGAGAAGAGGGGGAGGGGGAGAAAGAAAGAGACCACGGGAAAAAAUAGAGAAGGAAGAAAGAAAACGGAGUCGAAGAUAAAAGUAGAUGUGUGAGGGGAAGAGAGUUUUUGACAUUUGAGAGAGAAAGAAUCAGGGUUUUAGUCUUGCAGACUUUUUUGUGAGUGUUUAAGAAAUCCAAGCCUAGAGUUUUGAUUACUGUAAGUUUGAAGAAGGUGUGAGCAUGAUUUCAUGGUUUUGGGUUUCACCUUUGAGAUUUCCGGAGUUGGGGGUAUUUAAAGAGGCUGAGAUUUUUAGCAGAGGUUGAGCUUUAUUUCGGUGAACUCUAUGGCUUUUGUUUCUGUUUAAGAUACGAGUUCACUCGAUUUGGCUUUCCAUUAGCUAGAAGGGGAAGUUACCAAUUAUAAAAUUUGGAAGGACUUGGUCAUAAUCCCAGGGUCUGAACAUGGAUAGAAAAUGGAUCAAAAAUCCGAACAAGUUGAGUGAUGAGUACAAGCGCGGUGUUGAGUCAUUUCUUGAAGUUGCAAGGAAGCAUGUCAAUGUUAGAGGCAGAACUAAGUGUCCUUGCAUCAAGUGCCUAAA